UAGACUAUAAAUCGGCUCUCUGGUAAAAAAAUUCUCUUGCCCCUCACAGCCUCUUGUCUCUGGUUCCAGCCUUGGGAGGUCUGUCCUGGUACCUUAUCUUCUGGACUUGGAUGAAUCUGGAAACCGCCAUUCUCAGCAAACUGACACAAGAACAGAAAGCCAAACACCGUAUGUUCUCACUCAUAGCCACAUGCAACAAAGAGACUAAAGAAUCCAAUCAAUGGAUGGAUGUGUUUAACUUUUCGAUCGUUUUGGAAGUCCAAUUGCCAGAGACUAAUGAGCCUACAGUGUGGAUACUGAGAAUAUGAAGAAGAAUCAAGAAGAGGUCCCUGCCUAGGAGGGACACACAGUGUCAUGAAGAUGGCAACUCUGUCAACAGAGCCACUAAAACCCUCGGGCUUUAGUUCCUUGCUUCCUACUUCAUCCUCCAAGCACUGCAACUUGGUUCUGCCUUGACUGUAUCACUGGAAUUAUCCUCACAGCUACAUAUUAGACAAAUCCGAUAAGCAUUAUUCUGCCCUUUCUGUUCUCCUCUUCCGGUCUUGUGAAUCCACAUAUUGCCGAGUUUUCCUUCACCUUUCUGGCUGUUCCUUUCUAGUAUUCUCUAUAGGAUCAUCUUUCUAUGCCUUAUCCCACUAAAUGUGGGUGAUUCUCAUGACUUUCCAUUUUGCAUUAUUGCUGGAAAAUACCAUCAGCUUUCAACAAUCCAUAUUAUCUUCAUUUGCAAUCUAAUAGGAGAGAACUAUUCCAAGAGCAAGAAUGGAGGGAUAAUAUAAAAGAAAUUAAGUCAUGGAUUAUAUAUGCUUUAUGAGGUAAAAUUUAUAUUCCUAUGUUAAACAUUACUGACUCCAACAAAAUAUGUGUACUCAUUUAAAUCAUUUACACUUGCAAAUGUUAGCCAUUCUCAUUUAUUAUCAAGCAUCAUUCAGGUUUUAAUUACUAUCAAUUCUGAUCUGAAUUUGAAAAACGAGACUCCUGUUAUUCACAAAGAUAUAGAACGCUCAGUUGUUCUUUUGUUUUGGUAAGUGAAUGUAUUCAUUAACAGCAGGUGAAUUACUAUGGCACCGUCUUAAUCAGGUUGAGUAAACCAUGGCAAGUUCUCUGUGAUGGGCCGUGUGCUUUUCACUAACUGCAGAAUGUUUUGUAGAGAUGUCGGAUUUCCAAUUUCUAGUCUUUGCUUAAUCAGUGAUAAUUUUCUGGAAAACUGAAACAACAGCAUUUAGGAACCCCAACCCAAAGUAACUUCUGGGUAGGUAGAUGUGAGAUAGAUUGGGCAUGGCUCUGAGUUCAUAGAAUAGCCAGGUCUCUAUAUCAGUUGAACUUAACUAAAAGUUUUCUGUUAUGGACGAGAAAGUAGCGUGGCUUCUGAUAACGGGUCUUGCAGAAUCACUAGGUGCACAUCAUAUCCUGGGGGCUGUUAGUUGCAAAAUGUUUGGGGGAGAAAGAUGAAGAGAGUGUCUCAUGGAAAGUUAGGAAGAACAAAGGGUGAGAAGAUGGAAUCAAGGGGAAGACCAAGAGGCCCUAGUUGAAGGAUUUGCCCAACGAUCUCUUUCCAGGAAAGUCUCUCAAGAGGAGAAAAGGAUGAGUCAGAAAUCCUGGAUGAGUCCUUUAUAUCCUUCAAGUUUGCUUUCUAAUUUCAUGUAUGGGGAUAUUGAGACCUAGAAAUGGGCAGGAACCUUUCUGAAAUUAGAUAGUUGGAAAAAUAAAAAAUUAAAUAAAUUUUAAUAGAAAAUGAUGAUUAAAAAAAGAUUCCUAACAUAUUGUGCUGAGCACAAAAAGUUAGUGAUAAUGUUUCAUGUGAUAUUUGUGUGUUCCAUACAUCAGAUUUACGGGCAGGCAGAACCAUCCACCAAGCAACCUACAUGGAUAAUUUUUCUUUAACUUUGCUAAUAUGGUGGACUCAUGCUGAACUCAACAAUGCUUCUAAUGUACUUGUUUGGCAAAAUAUUUCUGGGUCUGAUGCUGCAUUAUUUUCUAUAGAUGCAUAUCAAACGACCCCAAAUUUAGCAGCUUAAAACAGUUCCAUGUAUAAGCUAAGAGUUUUGUAGAUCAGAAGUCUAGUAUGGCGUAACUGAGUUCUCUAUUCAGAGUAUCCCAGACUGAAAUCAAGUUAUCUACUAGAUUGAAUUCUAGGAAAAAGUUAUCCUCCAAGCCCAUUCUUGUCAUUAGCAGAAUUAAUUUCCUUCUAGUUAUAGGACAGAAGCCCCUGUUUCCUUGCUGGCUGUCAGCUGUGAGCUACUCUCAGCUCCUAGAAACCACUCAUCAUCUUUGCCACGUGACUUCCUCUUUAUCUCCAAGCUAGCAACAGCAAGUUGAGUCCUUAUCAUGAUUCAUAUUGCUUAUCCUCUUUGUCUCCCACUUCUAAAGCCAGAUUUAAAGGACUCAUGUGAUUAGUCAAGGCCCACAGGGACAAUCUCUGACGUCUUCAGGUUAACUGAUUUGGGAUCUCAGCUACACCUGCAAAAUUCUUUUUGGCCAUAACACGUAAUAUAAUCAUGAGAGUGAUAACCAUCAUGUUUAUAAUUUUAGGGUUACACAGGAUGUAUACAUCAGAAAGCAGAAGACUUCAGCAUUAUCUUAGAUUUCUACCCACCACAUGUG